GGUUACGCUAGCUAGUACAACUCUGUAUGUAUCUACUCUGUGGCUAGGAGAAAGAAUCUUAACAGAAUCAUGAUACAGGGAAAGAAUAUUAUAAGAUUGCUUAUGUGGAUGAACUCUGCACUCGAUGCUUAUGUAUUCGUUUAUUAAUCUCUUUUGAGAAAUUUAUGAUGUGGACGCUUUUCUUGUAGGGGCCGAAUUGAGAAAUUAAUGAACAUGUUUAAAAGUACCCCACCACAAAGACUGCCCCCCCCCCC